rnacentral:rRNA from 1 species
CGUGAAUACCUGACCAACGUUGCUUCGGCGGUGCGCCCCCCCGGGGGUAGCCGCCGGAGACCACACCGAACCUCCUGUCUUUAGUGUUGUCUGAGCUUGAUAGCAAACCUAUUAAAACUUUCAACAAUGGAUCUCUUGGUUCCGGCAUCGAUGAAGAACGCAGCGAACUGCGAUAAGUAAUGUGAAUUGCAGAAUUCAGUGAAUCAUCGAGUCUUUGAACGCACAUUGCGCCCCCUGGCAUUCCGGGGGGCAUGCCUGUCCGAGCGUCAUUGCUGCCCUUCAAGCCCGGCUUGUGUGUUGGGUCGUCGUCCCCCCCGGGGGACGGGCCCGAAAGGCAGCGGCGGCACCGCGUCCGGUCCUCGAGCGUAUGGGGCUUUGUCACCCGCUCGAUUAGGGCCGGCCGGGCGCCAGCCGGCGUCUCCAACCUUCUAUUUUACCAGGUUGACCUCGGAUCAGGUAGGGAUACCCGCUGAACUUAAGCUAU